rnacentral:misc_RNA from 1 species
GAAAACACAAGCUUUUUGCAUCCAUGAGCUGCCAUGACUUCCAAGAGGGUAAUUGUUCCAAUAAGGUUGUUGUCAUAGUACAUCAGAGGUUUCUCGACACUUUCACCAACCGCCUUUAGUCCAGCGAAAUGAAUAACAGCAUCAAAUUUGUUAGACCUGAAAAUCUCCUCAAUUGCCGGCUUAUCACGUAGAUCAACCUUGUGAAAAGAGAGAUUAGAGCCAUAUUCACCAGCAAUUUCCUUAACCCUUUUCACAGCAAUUUCAGAAGAAUUAUCCAAAUUAUCAAUCACCACAGUCUUAUAACCACCAAGCAACAAUUGCAAC